AAAAUUAGGUUUCGCCUUCCUCUUCCUAAUCCUCUUGCACGUGUGAACUCCACGAUGAGAUUCAGACUUUAAGCGCCGAUCCGAAUUCAUAACCGUUGAAGCUUCGACUAUAAAUAUCGGUCCUUCAUGCGAUGAUCAGUACAACUCAAACGAUAUCCAAAAGCAAUUUUUUCUUAGCAACCCAUCCGAGAAUGGCUAAUUCCUUCAUCAUUCUUGCAGAAUUGAAAAACAGGGACCAGUCUCUCCAAGGCCACCCUCUCGAUCACUCUAACUUUUGUUAUCAUCUCCUUGCUACUUUCGAUUUCAAAAUUUUAGUGUCUUGUUCUUUAUUUUUCUGUUGUGGAAUAGUGUUGGAGGAUCAAAGGAUUGAUCUUUUGGUUUUAAAAACGUUUGCUUUUAAUUUUCUGCGCAGGAAGAUGACAUGCUUAAAGUAUGUGAUCAGUGAUGCUACUGAGAUUGUCCCGACAAGAUUAUAUAGAUGCUGACGUAUAAUAUCGAUGCAAACGUAUAACAAGGUUAUAUUGAUGCUAAUGUAUAAUAUCGUGGACCGUACAAUAUACCAGGCUCCACAGCGUUGUAGUGCCUUUGCAGCUCGAGUUCUGCAUUAAAGUUGGGGACGAUUAGGCAGGAUCGGCUUCCUCUGUCUUAACGGAUUCAAAAGAGUUACCAUUUGCUCGUGCAAUUUAUAAGACACAAAGAAUUAACUAAAUUUGUUGCAACCCCUGAGUGUUACCUGAUCGCUAGAGUUGGAGAUGAACGUGUUUAAAUCUCCAAUUGACACAAGCUCUUUCUUUUUGAUCCCUUCCAUGGUAUCAAUACAUGGAAUACCUCUGCUGCUGCACCUCCCAAACUGCAGGAAGAACGAAUGUUCCUGUCAAAAUAAAACUUGGAUGUGGGUGUGGAGUUUAGAUAGAGGUAACCUGCAU